GCUAAAUAGCCCGUAUUGCUUUGGCAGUACGCUGGCUUCUUAGAGGGACUAUCGGCUCAAGCCGAUGGAAGUUUGAGGCAAUAACAGGUCUGUAAUGCCCUUAGAUGUCCUGGGCCGCACGCGCGCUACACUGAUGAAGUCAACGAGUUUAUAACCUUGGCCGGAAGGU
rnacentral:rRNA from 1 species